UUGCACGCUGGCGGCAGGCCUAACCCAUGCAAGUCGAACGGUAACAGGAAGAAGCUUGCUUCUUUGCUGACGAGUGGCGGACGGGUGAGUAAUGUCUGGGAAACUGCCUGAUGGAGGGGGAUAGCUACUGGAAACGGUAGCUAAUACCGCAUAACGUCGCAAGACCAAAGAGGGGGACCUUCGGGCCUCUUGCCAUCGGAUGUGCCCAGAUGGGAUUAGCUAGUAGGUGGGGUAACGGCUCACCUAGGCGACGAUCCCUAGCUGGUCUGAGAGGAUGACCAGCCACACUGGAACUGAGACACGGUCCAGACUCCUACGGGAGGCAGCAGUGGGGAAUAUUGCACAAUGGGCGCAAGCCUGAUGCAGCCAUGCCGCGUGUAUGAAGAAGGCCUUCGGGUUGUAAAGUACUUUCAGCGGGGAGGAAGGGAGUAAAGUUAAUACCUUUGCUCAUUGACGUUACCCGCAGAAGAAGCACCGGCUAACUCCGUG
rnacentral:rRNA from 1 species